AUUACCACAACAAGGACAAAUGGCAUUUCUGCCAAAGACUUUUGAUACGGGUGCCGUAAUGCACGUCAGCACUUUCUGAAAUUAAAGGUUCUACCCUGAGAGGUACCUAUUCCUAGGAAUUCCCCUUUCUGGAGAGGUGGAAUGACCUCACCACGACCUCACUUCCUUUCCAAGAAGUCCUGGAGAUUUCUCAUCAGCUCAGAAGCUUCGGGCUAGGUGGCAUCGGCCCUGCUGCUCCCAGGGAGGCUGUCACCAGGCUCUCCUCCUGAGCAAGAGCAGGACCUUUCCUCCUCACCCAAAGAGGCAGCAGCAAGAAGAGAAUGUGAGGCUCCAAUUAGGCACCACAGCCUGCAAGCAGCUCAGGGUUUGGGCAGUGCUGGGUAAGCCCAUAUAGCAUCAUUUAUAAACAGAAAAAAAGGUCACCUUCCUCCAGGACACUUGACUGAUAUCUACUAAAAAGGUCUUAAUCAAUAUAAAUAUAUGAUGAGUAUGAUUCAAAUAUCGCCUCCUAGAGUUUUGCAAGGCACAACUAUUCUUGGUGGUCCUGGAACCAUUUAGAUUUCCUCCUUGAAGCUCCAGAUCAUGUUCUUGCAGUUUCCUUCACUUCAUGGAGAUGCCGUGUUUGGUGGCUUGUCCGGUGAUCUGUCA